UACGUAGGGGGCGAGCGUUGUCCGAAGUUACUGGGCGUAAAGCGCGCGUAGGCGGGCCGGUAAGUGGGAAGUGAAAGGCUCGGGCUCAACCCGAGCAGUGCUUCUCAUACUGUCGGUCUUGAGGGCGGUAGGGAGAAGUGGAAUGGCUGGUGUAGCGGUGAAAUGCGUAGAUAUCAGUCGGAACACCGGUGGCGAAGGCGGCUUCUUGGGCCGUUCCUGACGCUGAGGCGCGAAAGCCAGGGUAGCGAACGGGAUUAGAUACCCCGGUAGUCCUGGCCGUAAACGAUGGAUACUAGGCGUAGGGGGUAUCGACCCCCCCUGUGCCGCAGCUAACGCAUUAAGUAUCCCGCCUGGGGAGUACGGCCGCAAGGUUGAA
rnacentral:rRNA from 1 species